rnacentral:lncRNA from 1 species
GUUUACAUUGUCUUACUAUUUAUUGAGUGAAUUUCUGGUCAUUGCCUAUGCAAAUAUAAGAAAUCUGGCUUUAAAUAUUAGUCAGUUUCAUGGCUAUGACUAGAUUGUUUUCUUGUAUAACUAAAUACCUGUAUAAAAUGAACUAAUGUUUUCUCUCCCCUCCCUACCCCUUCCUUAUGAACAAUGCUUUAGGUAUAUUGAAAUCUUUAAGAGCAGUAGAGCUGAAGUUAGAACUCAUUAUGAUCCACCACGAAAGCUUAUGGCCAUGCAGCGGCCAGGUCCUUAUGACAGACCUGGGGCUGGUAGAGGGUAUAACAGCAUUGGCAGAGGAGCUGGCUUUGAGAGGAUGAGGCGUGGUGCUUAUGGUGGAGGCUAUGGAGGCUAUGAUGAUUACAAUGGCUAUAAUGAUGGCUAUGGAUUUGGGUCAGAUAGAUUUGGAAGAGGUAAGGUAAGAAUUGAAUUUCUCAGUUGAAGGAUGCUUACACUCUUGUCCAUCUAGACCUCAAUUACUGUUUUUCAGGAAUGUCUGAUCACAGAUACGGGGAUGGUGGCUCUACUUUCCAGAGCACAACAGGACACUGUGUACACAUGCGGGGAUUACCUUACAGAGCUACUGAGAAUGACAUUUAUAAUUUUUUUUCACCGCUCAACCCUGUGAGAGUACACAUUGAAAUUGGUCCUGAUGGCAGAGUAACUGGUGAAGCAGAUGUCGAGUUCGCAACUCAUGAAGAUGCUGUGGCAGCUAUGUCAAAAGACAAAGCAAAUAUGCAACACAGAUAUGUAGAACUCUUCUUGAAUUCUACAGCAGGAGCAAGCGGUGGUGCUUACGAACACAGAUAUGUAGAACUCUUCUUGAAUUCUACAGCAGGAGCAAGCGGUGGUGCUUAUGGUAGCCAAAUGAUGGGAGGCAUGGGCUUGUCAAACCAGUCCAGCUACGGGGGCCCAGCCAGCCAGCAGCUGAGUGGGGGUUACGGAGGCGG